AGAGUUUGAUCAUGGCUCAGGAUGAACGCUGGCGGCGUGCCUAAUACAUGCAAGUCGAGCGAACCACUUCGGUGGUGAGCGGCGAACGGGUGAGUAACACGUAGGUGAUCUGCCCAUCAGACGGGGACAACGAUUGGAAACGAUCGCUAAUACCGGAUAGGACGAAAGUUUAAAGGUGCUCCUGGCACCGCUGAUGGAUGAGCCUGCGGCGCAUUAGCUAGUUGGUAGGGUAAAGGCCUACCAAGGCGACGAUGCGUAGCCGACCUGAGAGGGUGAACGGCCACACUGGGACUGAGACACGGCCCAGACUCCUACGGGAGGCAGCAGUAGGGAAUCUUCGGCAAUGGGCGAAAGCCUGACCGAGCAACGCCGCGUGAAUGAUGAAGGCCUUCGGGUUGUAAAAUUCUGUUAUAAGGGAAGAACGACUUUAGUAGGAAAUGGCUAAAGUGUGACGGUACCUUAUGAGAAGCCACGGCUAACUACGUGCCAGCAGCCGCGGUAAUACGUAGGUGGCAAGCGUUAUCCGGAAUUAUUGGGCGUAAAGAGCGCGCAGGUGGUUGAUUAAGUCUGAUGUGAAAGCCCACGGCUUAACCGUGGAGGGUCAUUGGAAACUGGUCGACUUGAGUGCAGAAGAGGGAAGUGGAAUUCCAUGUGUAGCGGUGAAAUGCGUAGAGAUAUGGAGGAACACCAGUGGCGAAGGCGCUUCCUGGUCUGUAACUGACACUGAGGCGCGAAAGCGUGGGGAGCAAACAGGAUUAGAUACCCUGGUAGUCCACGCCGUAAACGAUGAGUGCUAAGUGUUGGGGGUCGAACCUCAGUGCUGAAGUUAACGCAUUAAGCACUCCGCCUGGGGAGUACGGUCGCAAGACUGAAACUCAAAGGAAUUGACGG
rnacentral:rRNA from 1 species